rnacentral:rRNA from 1 species
AUUGAACGCUGGCGGAAUGCUUUACACAUGCAAGUCGAACGGUAGAGGGGGCAACCCCUCGAGAGUGGCGAACGGGUGAGUAAUAUAUCUGAACGUGCCCAGUCGUGGGGGAUAACGUAGCGAAAGUUACGCUAAUACCGCAUACGAUCUAAGGAUGAAAGCGGGGGAUCGCAAGACCUCCCGCGAUUGGAGCGGCCGCUAUCAGAUUAGGUAGUUGGUGGGGUAAGGCUCACCAAGCCAACGAUCUGUAGCUGGUCUGAGAGGACGACCAGCCACACUGGAACAGAGACCCGGUCCAGAAUGCUACGGGAGGCAGUAGUGGGGAAUUUUGGACAAUGGACGCAAGUCUGAUCCAGACAUUCCGCGUGCAGGAUGAAGGACCUCGGGUUGUAAACUGCUUUUGUACGGAACGAAAAGGUCUCUCUUAAUACGGGGGACUCAUGACGGUACCGUAAGAAUAAGCACCGGCUAACUACGUGCCAGCAGCCGCGGUAA